rnacentral:rRNA from 1 species
CAACUUUCAGCGAUGGAUAUCUCGGCUCAGGCACCUGUGAAGGGCGCAGCGAAAUGCGAUAGUCUUUGUGAAUUGCAGAACUCCGUGAACCAAUGGCCUCCUGAACGCUCAUUGCACCCUUGGGAUUUCCUGAGGGCAUGUCUGCUUCAGUG